GAUAUUGACUUAGUCGACAUCAUUCUAAUUGGCGACUGCACGGAUACUGAAAACCCGGAGUAUGUGUUGGGAAAAUGUGCUACCAGUAUCAAGGAAGACCCACCACUGUAUUACUUGGAGACCAGCUGUCCUACGCAUUUCAUCCAGUGUGACGAGCAUGGAGGUGCAGAUAUAAAACCCUGUGCACCUGAAACUGAAUGGUGUCAACAAAAGUUAACAUGUGACCAUGUCGGCAGUUGUGAUACUUAACUAUAUACUAUCAGAACGUAGAGGACCUCAUCGAUAUUAUCAGAUUUCAUGUAACUUCUUAAAACGUUGAUUUUAGUUUUAUCUGUGUUAUAGAAAUUCACAAGAAAAUCAACUUUAAGUUAUCUCCGUAUUUUCAUCUGCAUAAUUGUCUUCCAUUAUAAAUUCAGUGUUCAUCAAUUACAUCGUAUUAAUAAAUGUAUUUCUGCA